CAUUGAUAUUGACAUAAUUAAAUUCAUAACAAUUAUUUCAAAUUUUAUCUGGUACUACCCAUUUUUUGUUCAAGUUGCGAGUAAUAGAAAGAGAAAAUUGAUAACUUCAACAAUUUGACACUCCACAAUUAAUUAUCACACGUAAUACAACCAACACCACACUUUUGUUUAACACAUAAAUAUGCAUCUGAUUUUUCUAUACCAUAUCAUUGAAUAUAAUAGGAUUCAAAAUCCACUCACAUCUAGUAAAUACUAAACCUUACUCCAAACCUCAACUCCUAAAUACUAACCUUAAACUUUAAACAUCACCCUUCCAUCUAAAUACUAAACCCUAAACCCUAAUUACUGAACCAUAAACUCAAAUACAAACCUUAAACCCAAUUAUCAAAAUCUGAAAAUAGUAUAUAAUAUUAUGUAAU
rnacentral:lncRNA from 1 species